GACGAACGCUGGCGGCGUGCCUAACACAUGCAAGUUGAGCGACGAACCAGGGCUUGCCCUGGGGCAAAGCAGCGAACGGGUGAGUAACACGUGGGUAACCUACCCCGAUAACCGGGACAACCCGAGGAAACUCGGGCUAAUACCGGAUGUGCUCACUGGACUUCGGUUCAGUGCGUAAAGGAAGCUUCGGCCUCCGUAUCGGGAGGGGCCCGCGGCCCAUUAGUUUGUUGGUGAGGUAACGGCUCACAAAGACCGCGAUGGGUAGCUGGUCUGAGAGGACGAUCAGCCACACUGGGACUGAGACACGGCCCAGACUCCUACGGGAGGCAGCAGUGGGGAAUCUUGCGCAAAGCGCGAAAGCGUGACGCAGCAACGCCGCGUGGGGGAAGAAGGCCUUCGGGUUGUAAACCCCUUUCAGGAGGGACGAAGGUUCGGCGGUGAAUAGCCGUCCGGACUGACGGUACCUCCACAAGAAGCCCCGGCUAACUACGUG
rnacentral:rRNA from 1 species